UCCAGACUCCUACGGGAGGCAGCAGUGGGGAAUAUUGCACAAUGGGGGAAACCCUGAUGCAGCGACGCCGCGUGAGUGAAGAAGUAUUUCGGUAUGUAAAGCUCUAUCAGCAGGGAAGAUAAUGACGGUACCUGACUAAGAAGCCCCGGCUAACUACGUGCCAGCAGCCGCGGUAAUACGUAGGGGGCAAGCGUUAUCCGGAUUUACUGGGUGUAAAGGGUGCGCAGGUGGCAGGGCAAGUCAGAUGUGAAAGCCCGGGGCUCAACCCCGGUAUUGCAUUUGAAACUGUCCGGCUAGAGUGCGGGAGAGGUAAGCGGAAUUCCUAGUGUAGCGGUGAAAUGCGUAGAUAUUAGGAGGAACACCAGUGGCGAAGGCGGCUUACUGGACUGUAACUGACGUUGAGGCUCGAAAGCGUGGGGAGCAAACAGGAUUAGAUACCCUAGUAA
rnacentral:rRNA from 1 species